rnacentral:rRNA from 1 species
GGGUCAGUAGGUUGGUCGUGCCACCGGUACGUACUGGUCUCACUGAUUCCUCCUUCCUGACGAACCGUAAUGCCAUUAAUUUGGUGGUGCGGGGAAACAGGACUGUUACUUUGAAAAAAUUAGAGUGUUUAAAGCAAGCUAACGCUUGAAUACAUUAGCAUGGAAUAAUGAAAUAGGACGAUCGAUCCUAUUUUGUUGGUUUCUAGGAUUGACGUA